rnacentral:rRNA from 1 species
CCUACGGGCGGCAGCAGUGAGGAAUACUGGUCAAUGGACGAGAGUCUGAACCAGCCAAGUAGCGUGAAGGAUGACUGCCCUAUGGGUUGUAAACUUCUUUUAUAUGGGAAUAAAAUGUUCCACGUGUGGGAUUUUGUAUGUACCAUAUGAAUAAGGAUCGGCUAACUCCGUGCCAGCAGCCGCGGUAAUACGGAGGAUCCGAGCGUUAUCCGGAUUUAUUGGGUUUAAAGGGAGCGUAGGUGGAUUGUUAAGUCAGUUGUGAAAGUUUGCGGCUCAACCGUAAAAUUGCAGUUGAAACUGGCAGUCGUGAGUACAGUAGAGGUGGGCGGAAUUCGUGGUGUAGCGGUGAAAUGCUUAGAUAUCACGAAGAACUCCGAUUGCGAAGGCAGCUCACUGGACUGCAACUGACACUGAGGCUCGAAAGUGUGGGUAUCAAACAGGAUUAGAUACCCCAGUAGUC